rnacentral:rRNA from 1 species
AGGAUUAGAUACCCGGUUAGUCCUAGCAGUAAACGAUGGCUACUAGGUGUGGGGGGUGUUGACCCCUCCUGUGCCGAAGCUAACGCAUUAAGUAGCCCGCCUGGGGAGUACGGUCGCAAGACUAAAACUCAAAGGAAUUGACGGGGACCCGCACAAGCAGCGGAGCGUGUGGUUUAAUUCGAUGCAACGCGAAGAACCUUACCUGGGCUUGACAUUCUUUUGCAACACUCUGAAAGGAGUGCCUCCCUCGGGACAGAAGAACAGAUGUUGCAUGGCUGUCGUCAGCUCGUGUCGUGAGAUGUUGGGUUAAGUCCCGCAACGAGCGCAACCCUUGUUUCCAGUUGCAUAUCUGGAGAGACUGCCGGUAUAGAACCGGAGGAAGGUGGGGAUGAUGUCAAGUCAGCAUGACUCUUACGUCCAGGGCUACACACACGCUACAAUGGGCCGUACAAUGAGAUGCCACGGAGCGAUCCGGAGCGGAGCUCGGAAAGCGGCCCUCAGUUCAGAUUGCACUCUGCAACCCGAGUGCAUGAAGGUGGAGUUGCUAGUAACCGCGUGUCAGCAUAGCGCGGUGAAUAUGUUCCCGGGUCUUGUACACACCGCCCGUCACGUCAUGGGAGUUGGCAACACCUGAAGUCUGUACGCUAACUCUAGCAUUUAUUGCUAGAGAGGCAGCAGCCGAGGGUGGGGCUGAUGACUGGGACGAAGUCGUAACAAG